GACGAACGCUGGUGGCGUGCUUAACACAUGCAAGUCGAGCGGUAAGGCCCUUUCGGGGGUACACGAGCGGCGAACGGGUGAGUAACACGUGGGUGACCUGCCUCUAGCUCUGGGAUAAGCCUGGGAAGCUGGGUCUAAUACCGGAUAUGACCUCGCGGUGCAUGUUGCGGGGUGGAAAGCCUUGUGCGGCUAGGGAUGGGCCCGCGGCCUAUCAGCUUGUUGGUGGGGUGANGGCCUACCAAGGCGACGACGGGUAGCCGGCCUGAGAGGGCGACCGGCCACACUGGGACUGAGACACGGCCCAGACUCCUACGGGAGGCAGCAGUGGGGAAUCUUGCGCAAUGGGCGAAAGCCUGACGCAGCGACGCCGCGUGAGGGAUGACGGCCUCGGUUGUAAC
rnacentral:rRNA from 1 species